UUCUCUAUUUGAGUAUAAAUAUAGCUACAGCUUCACUCUAGCUUUACGUGGAGUCAAUAUGAUCUCUAUUGACUGACGAAAUGGAGAAACUCGUUAUUUUGUUAGUCCUUCUAGUCACAUUUGUAGAACACAGUUCAACCCAAGAAUGUACAGAUAUUAAUGGCUUCCGUAAACAACGACGACUUCAGUGGGAUAACUGUUUAAAUACAUGUUUUGUUGGUCUUUGCUCUUUGCCUGAUUGUACCAAUCUUAUAAACACGUGUUCAGGAACUUGCAUUCCAACUGCAUUUAGUGCUCCUCCAAGCUGCAACAAUCAGCAGGCUAUAAUACAGGUUGUACAAAGUGAAGAUAACAAAUGGAAUAAAUGUAUAACAAAGUGCAAUUCAGGAUCAUGCCGUGGUUCAUGUAAAUCUAGAACAAUCUGUGGAAGUUUGUUUAGAUGUGUCUCAAAGAACUCUUCACUGUAGAGGUCAAAUUGGUUCCAAAAGAUUAACCCUAAAUAUGUAAAUACAAUGUAUAUAUUCUGAACUCUGUUUCCAUUUCGAAAUAAACGAACUGUAGAAUUUUC